GAGUGCACACUCCAACAACCACUAACCAUUCUGGAUUCUUGACCCUAACCGAGUCUUCUUGUGGGUCCCUCAGGGAUCCAACAUCCACACUAUUGGCCAGCUUGAUGUCAUCUUCUGUUCUUCGCCUGAUGAAGACGGGCUUUCCACGCCACUUGACUGUCACGGUAGUUCCUGGUUCUAUGCUCCCUAGGUCAACCUCAAGGGAUGCAAGGGCAAGGACAUCUUUACUUGCAGACAUGCUCACA
rnacentral:sRNA from 1 species